CUGCCACACUGGGACUGAGACACGGCCCAGACUCCUACGGGAGGCAGCAGUGGGGAAUUUUGGACAAUGGGGGCAACCCUGAUCCAGCCAUGCCGCGUGUCUGAAGAAGGCCUUCGGGUUGUAAAGGACUUUUGUCAGGGAGGAAAUCCCUAAGGCUAAUACCCUUGGGGGAUGACAGUACCUGAAGAAUAAGCACCGGCUAACUACGUGCCAGCAGCCGCGGUAAUACGUAGGGUGCAAGCGUUAAUCGGAAUUACUGGGCGUAAAGCGUGCGCAGGCGGUUUGAAAAGUCAGCUGUG
rnacentral:rRNA from 1 species